rnacentral:rRNA from 1 species
UACGUAGGGUGCAAGCGUUGUCCGGAUUUACUGGGCGUAAAGCGCUCGUAGGCGGUUUGUCAAGUGUGAAGUGAAAUCUCCAGGGCUCAACCCGGAAACUGCUUCGCAGACUGGCAGACUUGAGUGACUCAGAGGUGGAUAGAAUUCCUGGUGUAGCGGUGAAAUGCGUUGAUAUCAGGAGGAAUACCGACGGCGAAGGCAGUCCACUGGGAGUCUACUGACGCUGAGGAGCGAAAGCGUGGGUAGCAAA